rnacentral:ncRNA from 1 species
UAAAAGGCGAAGACGGGAAAAGUAGGAUGAAAAGAUUUUUCACAGAGAGCUUCGGAUGCUGAAAAGAAGCAAAAAUUAUCAUUUGAACAAUGGUCCCUGAGCCUGUGUAGCUGAACGUGUUUGUACAUGAGUAGGCUACCACGAGAGUUGGCGCUCGUUACCAUAGUCACAGUAUAAGAGCUGAAUGCUCCGUACUUGUUGAGAUGAAAGGUGUGAGCCUUUUAUAAAUUAAGGUGGUACCACGAGACUAUAGCCUCGUCCUUAUC